rnacentral:rRNA from 1 species
AUUGAACGCUGGUGGCAGGCCUAACACAUGCAAGUCGAGCGAGCGGCGGACGGGUGAGUAAUGUAUGGGGACUGCCCGAUAGAGGGGGAUCACUACUGGAAACGGUGGCUAAUACCGCAUACUGUCGGAUCACCAAUCUGGGAUUAGCUAGUAGGUAAGGUAAUGGCUUACCUAGGCGACGAUCCCUAGCUGGUCUGAGAGGAUGAUCAGCCACACUGGUACUGAGACACGUCCCAGACUCCUACGGAGGGAGCAGUGGGGAAGAUUGCACAAUGGGCUCAAGCCUGAUGCAGCCAUGCCGCGUGUAUGAAGAAGGCCCUAGGGUUGUAAAGUACUUUCAGUCGGGAGGCGUUACCGACAGAAGAAGCACCGGCUAACUCCGUGCCAGCAGCCGCGGUAAUAC